rnacentral:rRNA from 1 species
GCUGGCGGCGUGCCUAAUACAUGCAAGUCGAGCGAACGGACGAGAAGCUUGCUUCUCUGAUGUUAGCGGCGGACGGGUGAGUAACACGUGGAUAACCUACCUAUAAGACUGGGAUAACUUCGGGAAACCGGAGCUAAUACCAGAUAAUAUUUUGAACCGCAUGGUUCAAAAGUGAAAGACGGUCUUGCUGUCACUUAUAGAUGGAUCCGCGCUGCAUUAGCUAGUUGGUAAGGUAACGGCUUACCAAGGCAACGAUGCAUAGCCGACCUGAGAGGGUGAUCGGCCACACUGGAACUGAGACACGGUCCAGACUCCUACGGGAGGCAGCAGUAGGGAAUCUUCCGCAAUGGGCGAAAGCCUGACGGAGCAACGCCGCGUGAGUGAUGAAAGUCUUCGGAUCGUAAAACUCUGUUAUUAGGGAAGAACAUAUGUGUAAGUAACUGUGCACAUCUUGACGGUACCUAAUCAGAAAGCCACGGCUAACUACGUGCCAGCAGCCGCGGUAAUACGUAGGUGGCAAGCGUUAUCCGGAAUUAUUGGGCGUAAAGCGCGCGUAGGCGGUUUUUUAAGUCUGAUGUGAAAGCCCACGGCUCAACCGUGGAGGGUCAUUGGAAACUGGAAAACUUGAGUGCAGAAGAGGAAAGUGGAAUUCCAUGUGUAGCGGUGAAAUGCGCAGAGAUAUGGAGGAACACCAGUGGCGAAGGCGACUUUCUGGUCUGUAACUGACGCUGAUGUGCGAAAGCGUAAGGGAUCAAACAGGAUUAGAUACCCUGGUAGUCC